GCGGACAAUUACGUUUGCAAGUGUGUGUCCAUACGUACACUAAAGCAACAACCAAACCACAAAACCUUAUUUAAAUAUAAACCAACCUCAGUUCACAACAUAUACAUAUAUAACUUUGCCGUUAUAACAAUAACUGAGCCACAAGGCCAGCGAUAAGAGAGCGAAGUGAAGCUCCCAACAUAAUCAUCGUCAGAAAACUUUUUACAAUCUCCUCGAUACCCUGGACAGCGGCCAACUGCGCUUUCUUCAACAGCGCGGGAUGGCAACUACUUAAUUUAUAUCCGCUGCAUUACCCAUGCUGCAUAAUUCACACAUACAAGCAUAGGUGCUUGCACGUCAUUGGUUGAGACAAGAACUUCUCCAGCAUACACUGUGCAAAAAUAAAAGGUAAGCUAGUGUACGUGGGCUAUUGUAUAAAGAUAGUUAUGGCACAAGGUGCGAUAUGUGACACAAAUUUAUUGUUAUCAAAUUUGCCUGUACAAUGUACCAAUAUUAUCUAAGGUAAUACAGUUUGUCAAGUAAUCAAAGUCAUUAACACCUCUGCCCACAGUCCUAACUUAAAGCUUUCUAACAAAAAAAGCUUUCAUCGAGGCCAUUCAAAGGAAUAGAUAAAAAAACUGAAAUGUAUGAUCUGCAUAACCUUAUUCAGUCUAUGUUUCGUCGUCUUCGGGCUGUAAUGGAUGCUAAUGUUCAAUAUAGCAAAUAUUAGUUAUAAAUACAAUAAUAUUUUGCAUUUCGAAAUGAAUUAAUUGA